ACGUGCCUAUUUUCUUGAACUUUUUAUUUUUAUGGUGAGACAAUACUGUGUGAGAAUUUGUAAAUAAAGAAAAAGAAGCCUCUUUUUAUAAGGCUCUCUUUCUUUAUUCACAACUUUUUUUCUUUUAUAAAUAGAUAUAGAUCUUAUGAUGAUGUUUAUUUGUUCUUUCAAUUUUUUAUUUCUUUCUAUCAUACAUAUGUAUAUAUGUAUGUAUGUACAUACAUACAUACAAAGGGUAGUCAAGGUCAGGCUCUUGUGUUUUUAUAGAUAUAUUAUACACAUCACGUUAUAUCUCCUUCGAAUAAUUAAAAUAGCCAAAAGUAGUAGCAAAAAUCAAUAUUUCGUGAAGCUAAAUUAUAUCAUGUAUGUAUUUGUCUAAUCGUAAGAAUAUAAAUUCAAAAUUUUUAACAAUUUCAUAUUUGUAUAUGGAUAAGUCGUAUAUAGCAUUAAAUUGAAUGUUAAUUAAUUGGUUUUUAUCACAUCGAUAUACAUCAUCGAUAAUGAUGAUGAAAUAUGAGUCAAUGUGAAAUUAUUUGUGAGAUUGCGACUUGAAAGCUGAAAUAAAAGUUGCAUUAAAUUUAAAGGCAGAUACAAUAUAUUUGUGGUUGUCCAAAAUACAUUGCAUGGGGUUUUGCCUUUCCAUCGAACUUUGAAUUAUCAUCUGUAAUCCUCGUAACUGACGAAAUGAACGUAAUAAACGAUGUCUUUUUGUGCAAUAUCGAAUUUUGUUCUAAAUGCAAUUUACUACAAUCAGCAUCUAUUAACAAGAAUUCGAAGACAAAUGUAUGUUCUAAAGAAACUCGGUAUGAUAUAUCCAGACUUGAUUAUGCAGUCUACAAAGCAUUGAAGAUUCUUGAUAAACAUAUCGAUGUUCUCCACACAAUAAGUGCUCAUUGUAAACAUAUUUCAAUGACAUCGGCUUUAUUUUUGUAUCACAUCAGUUAUUUUUUAGAAUAUGUUUUAAGUAAAAUGUAUCUUACGCCGGAACAAGAGAGAAGCAAAGAACUACAUUACAGAAAACUUUGGCAUUGUCAGAAAAAAUCUAUUGAAGAUGUUGCUAAUUUAUUCAAACUUCAAACUCCUAUGUAAGAUAUAUACAUAUGUGAAAUGACAAUAUCAUUUUGAAUUAAUAUUGAUCGCUAUCGAUUGGCUAUGCUAUGCAAGUAAAACAUACGUCGAAGUAGUGAAGUGGAGCAGCGCAAUAAGAGGAGACGUACAUUAAUUAAGUUUAUAAAGUUUAUAGUUGAGCUGAGGUUGAGAGAAUAUAAUAAAGUUAAGAAUACAGCGAUAUUAAAUUUCGACUGUAUGAUAUAUCCAUGAUUAAGCUCGAUCAACUAUGGAUCUGGAGACGCAACGAAUUAAUCAUAAAAAAACGCUCGAGAACAUAAUUAAACGGUACAGGAAAAAUAUAGUUGCUAUUGAUGAAAUUGACAAAAGAUGCAACGAAUAUGUCACAAAUACAAAGUAUCUAUAUUCUCAAAUCUUUUAAUUUAUACUUUAUUUGCGUUACGGCAAAAAGA